UAUUAGAACUCGCUAGUAUUGCAUAUCAGAAAAAAGUUUCCCAUUAGACUCAAGAUUAGAUUCGAUAGAAAUUUUUCUUUUUGCUAAACGAACAAAUAAUUUCAUUUUAUUACUACUUCUAUGAAGAAUUAGAUUAUAUUAAUUGAAUAAUAAUUAACUUUUUUGUAGAUUAAACUACCUCAAAAGGCCAUUGAAAAGGCGAAGUCAUUGAAGCAAUGUCCGUCUGUUUUCUACGCAUUUCAACUUCUCGAAAAUACUGGCAUUUGCAUUGUACCAGGAGCUGGAUUUGGCCAGAAACCUGGCACAUACCAUUUCAGGACAACAAUUUUGCCUCAACCAGAAAAACUGAAAAGUAUGCUCCAGAAAUUCAAGGAGUUCCACGAAUCAUUCAUGAAGGAAUACAAUUGAAGAGAACUUUUGGUCGAUAGGUAGAGGUUUAAAUUUCAUCAAUAUUCGUCAUUGAACUGACAAUGGUAGAACUGGCUCAUAAAUGUAUGAGUUUGAUCACAGUAUUCUAUACAAACUUGAAUGUGCACCCGAGUUGAAAAAAUCAUAACAAACCCUAAGAGUUAUGUGAUUUAUACUAGAUUUUUGUAAAUAGUGAUGUAAGUAUGAUAUUAUUAGAGUUAUUUAUUUAUUUAAUUUUGAAAAUAUUUUGAGGACUAUAUCGAAAGUUUUAGGAUAUAAUUGAUUUUUUCAUCAUCACAUAUUUUGUUUUAAACAGCAAACAUUCAUUCAUUUUGCCAAGUAUUAUAUGGUAAUUUGAAAAGUAACUUGAAAUAACAAUAUUCAAUUUUAUGAUCUCUUGACUUUGUACUACAUAACAGAUAACUUUGUACUACUCGAUCCUGUGUAGGUAUAAAAAUAAUACCAUCUCACUGACAAAAUAAAGAUCAACCAUGAAACUACGAACGAGAGUUUCAAUGUUUUCAAAUUAUUUUAUUUUACAGUUAUAUUAAUUUUAUUUAUUCUUAUUUUAUUAGUUUGUAGGAAAUGCGCAAUAUCAAUAUCUAUUAUUAUUUAUGAAUUUUAUAAUAUUUGCUAUAAGCAAUAGAUAAUCUAUAAGAUAAUAAUAAUGAUAAAAUUAAUAUGUUUUCUUUGUUCAAAUUGAUACACUAAUCACAUUUUAUUUUUAUUUAUGGAUGCUCCUUAUUUCUAAUUGUAGGCCUAUGUUUCUGAUCAAUCACGACCAUUUAAAAAAAUUGUUUUACUAUUAUUUAUAUGAACAAAUAAUGAAACAUUAUCAUUUGAAACAUAAAUUAAGAUUAUGAGAAACAUUUUCUCGACAAGACAUUUUUUGUUUAAAAAUGUUAGUUAUUAUCUUCAUAGAAAUGUCAUCGACCUUCAUUUUUCGAUCGUUAUUUUAUUUUGAUACUGAUUAACUUGUCUCAUCUAAGUAUAUAUUUAUUUAAUGUUAAUGAACAUUCUACGCAGCUGGAAAUAAAUAUAUAGUUAACAUAU